AUUGAACGCUGGCGGCAUGCCUUACACAUGCAAGUCGAACGGCAGCACGGGAGCAAUCCUGGUGGCGAGUGGCGAACGGGUGAGUAAUGCAUCGGAACGUGCCCUGCAAGUGGGGGAUAACGUAGCGAAAGUUACGCUAAUACCGCAUAUUCUAGUGAGCAGGAAAGCAGGGGAUCGCAAGACCUUGCGCUUAUGGGAGCGGCCGAUGUCGGAUUAGCUAGUUGGUGGGGUAAAGGCCUACCAAGGCCACGAUCCGUAGCGGGUCUGAGAGUAUGAUCCGCCACACUGGGACUGAGACACGGCCUAGACUCCUACGGGAGGCAGCAGUGGGGAAUUUUGGACAAUGGGCGAAAGCCUGAUCCAGCCAUGCCGCGUGAGUGAAGAAGGCCUUCGGGUUGUAAAGCUCUUUCGGCGGGGAAGAAAUUGCUACCAGGAUAAUACCCUGAGUAGAUCCGACGGUACCCGAAGAAGAAGCACCGGCUAACUACGUGCCAGCAGCCGCGGUAAUACGUAGGGUGCGAGCGUUAAUCGGAAUUACUGGGCGUAAAGCGUGCGCAGGCGGUCUGUGUAAGACAGACGUGAAAUCCUCGGGCUCAACCUGGGAACUGCGUUUGUGACUGCACGACUAGAGUGUGGCAGAGGGGGGUGGAAUUCCACGUGUAGCAGUGAAAUGCGUAGAGAUGUGGAGGAACACCGAUGGCGAAGGCAGCCCCCUGGGCCAAUACUGACGCUCAUGCACGAAAGCGUGGGGAGC
rnacentral:rRNA from 1 species